AGAGCAAAUGGAAGUAGCUGGACAAACUUACUGGUACCAGUUUCCAAAACCAUUUGGAAGGAGACUUCAGAGGAAGCAGCAGAAAAAAAGGGGGAAAGCAAAAGAAUAAUCAUGUUGUACAACUUGAAAUUCCAGGAAUAUUGUUUUAGAGGAGGAAGAGAGACCUGAGCUAACGCGCUCAGCCUGCCUUGCCACAGGAUGCCCUCCCUGCGCUGCCUCAGGACUCUGCAGAGUCCCCACCAGCAAGAAGGCCCUCACCAGAUGUGGCCCCUGACCUUGGA